rnacentral:rRNA from 1 species
UUAAGCGACUAAGCGUACACGGUGGAUGCCCUGGCAGUCAGAGGCGAUGAAGGACGUGCUAAUCUGCGAUAAGCGUCGGUGAGGUGAUAUGAACCGUUAUAACCGGCGAUUUCCGAAUGGGGAAACCCAGUGUGUUUCGACACACUAUCAUUAACUGAAUCCAUAGGUUAAUGAGGCGAACCGGGGGAACUGAAACAUCUAAGUACCCCGAGGAAAAGAAAUCAACCGAGAUUCCCCCAGUAGCGGCGAGCGAACGGGGAGGAGCCCAGAGCCUGAAUCAGUGUGUGUGUUAGUGGAAGCGUCUGGAAAGGCGCGCGAUACAGGGUGACAGCCCCGUACACAAAAAUGCACAUAUUGUGAGCUCGAUGAGUAGGGCGGGACACGUGGUAUCCUGUCUGAAUAUGGGGGGACCAUCCUCCAAGGCUAAAUACUCCUGACUGACCGAUAGUGAACCAGUACCGUGAGGGAAAGGCGAAAAGAACCCCGGCGAGGGGAGUGAAAAAGAACCUGAAACCGUGUACGUACAAGCAGUGGGAGCCUCUUAAUGGGGUGACUGCGUACCUUUUGUAUAAUGGGUCAGCGACUUAUAUUCUGUAGCAAGGUUAACCGAAUAGGGGAGCCGAAGGGAAACCGAGUCUUAACUGGGCGUUAAGUUGCAGGGUAUAGACCCGAAACCCGGUGAUCUAGCCAUGGGCAGGUUGAAGGUUGGGUAACACUAACUGGAGGACCGAACCGACUAAUGUUGAAAAAUUAGCGGAUGACUUGUGGCUGGGGGUGAAAGGCCAAUCAAACCGGGAGAUAGCUGGUUCUCCCCGAAAGCUAUUUAGGUAGCGCCUCGUGAAUUCAUCUCCGGGGGUAGAGCACUGUUUCGGCAAGGGGGUCAUCCCGACUUACCAACCCGAUGCAAACUGCGAAUACCGGAGAAUGUUAUCACGGGAGACACACGGCGGGUGCUAACGUCCGUCGUGAAGAGGGAAACAACCCAGACCGCCAGCUAAGGUCCCAAAGUCAUGGUUAAGUGGGAAACGAUGUGGGAAGGCCCAGACAGCCAGGAUGUUGGCUUAGAAGCAGCCAUCAUUUAAAGAAAGCGUAAUAGCUCACUGGUCGAGUCGGCCUGCGCGGAAGAUGUAACGGGGCUAAACCAUGCACCGAAGCUGCGGCAGCGACACUAUGUGUUGUUGGGUAGGGGAGCGUUCUGUAAGCCUGUGAAGGUGGCCUGUGAGGGUUGCUGGAGGUAUCAGAAGUGCGAAUGCUGACAUAAGUAACGAUAAAGCGGGUGAAAAGCCCGCUCGCCGGAAGACCAAGGGUUCCUGUCCAACGUUAAUCGGGGCAGGGUGAGUCGACCCCUAAGGCGAGGCCGAAAGGCGUAGUCGAUGGGAAACAGGUUAAUAUUCCUGUACUUGGUGUUACUGCGAAGGGGGGACGGAGAAGGCUAUGUUGGCCGGGCGACGGUUGUCCCGGUUUAAGCGUGUAGGCUGGUUUUCCAGGCAAAUCCGGAAAAUCAAGGCUGAGGCGUGAUGACGAGGCACUACGGUGCUGAAGCGACAAAUGCCCUGCUUCCAGGAAAAGCCUCUAAGCAUCAGGUAACAUCAAAUCGUACCCCAAACCGACACAGGUGGUCAGGUAGAGAAUACCAAGGCGCUUGAGAGAACUCGGGUGAAGGAACUAGGCAAAAUGGUGCCGUAACUUCGGGAGAAGGCACGCUGAUAUGUAGGUGAAGCGACUUGCUCGUGGAGCUGAAAUCAGUCGAAGAUACCAGCUGGCUGCAACUGUUUAUUAAAAACACAGCACUGUGCAAACACGAAAGUGGACGUAUACGGUGUGACGCCUGCCCGGUGCCGGAAGGUUAAUUGAUGGGGUUAGCGGUAACGCGAAGCUCUUGAUCGAAGCCCCGGUAAACGGCGGCCGUAACUAUAACGGUCCUAAGGUAGCGAAAUUCCUUGUCGGGUAAGUUCCGACCUGCACGAAUGGCGUAAUGAUGGCCAGGCUGUCUCCACCCGAGACUCAGUGAAAUUGAACUCGCUGUGAAGAUGCAGUGUACCCGCGGCAAGACGGAAAGACCCCGUGAACCUUUACUAUAGCUUGACACUGAACAUUGAGCCUUGAUGUGUAGGAUAGGUGGGAGGCUUUGAAGUGUGGACGCCAGUCUGCAUGGAGCCGGCCUUGAAAUACCACCCUUUAAUGUUUGAUGUUCUAACGUUGGCCCGUAAUCCGGGUUGCGGACAGUGUCUGGUGGGUAGUUUGACUGGGGCGGUCUCCUCCUAAAGAGUAACGGAGGAGCACGAAGGUUGGCUAAUCCUGGUCGGACAUCAGGAGGUUAGUGCAAUGGCAUAAGCCAGCUUGACUGCGAGCGUGACGGCGCGAGCAGGUGCGAAAGCAGGUCAUAGUGAUCCGGUGGUUCUGAAUGGAAGGGCCAUCGCUCAACGGAUAAAAGGUACUCCGGGGAUAACAGGCUGAUACCGCCCAAGAGUUCAUAUCGACGGAGGUGUUUGGCACCUCGAUGUCGGCUCAUCACAUCCUGGGGCUGAAGUAGGUCCCAAGGGUAUGGCUGUUCGCCAUUUAAAGUGGUACGCGAGCUGGGUUUAGAACGUCGUGAGAUAGUUCGGUCCCUAUCUGCCGUGGGCGCUGGAGAACUGAGGGGGGCUGCUCCUAGUACGAGAGGACCGGAGUGGACGCAUCACUGGUGUUCGGGUUGUCAUGCCAAUGGCACUGCCCGGUAGCUAAAUGCGGAAGAGAUAAGUGCUGAAAGCAUCUAAGCACGAAACUUGCCCCGAGAUGAGUUCUCCCUGACCCUUUAAGGGUCCUGAAGGAACGUUGAAGACGACGACGUUGAUAGGCCGGGUGUGUAAGCGCAGCGAUGCGUUGAGCUAACCGGUACUAAUGAACCGUGAGGCUUAACCUU